UAAGUAAGCCAUUAGAGCUUGGAGUUGAGGCCCUAGCUGGCCAGUGAAUUCACAAGUGUAGCGAGUAUGCUACAUGAGGGGGGGGCAGGUCUUUUGCUAACACCAAAAGGGUCCUGGCCCAAUGAGUGGAGUUUGAUAGUAAUUCUUGCUACAAGU
ensembl:snoRNA SNORA62 Small nucleolar RNA SNORA62/SNORA6 family